rnacentral:rRNA from 1 species
CCUACGGGAGACAGCAGUGGGGAAUAUUGGGCAAUGGGCGCAAGCCUGACCCAGCAACGCCGCGUGAAGGAAGAAGGCUUUCGGGUUGUAAACUUCUUUUCUCAGGGACGAAGAAAGUGACGGUACCUGAGGAAUAAGCCACGGCUAACUACGUGCCAGCAGCCGCGGUAAUACGUAGGUGGCAAGCGUUAUCCGGAUUUAUUGGGUGUAAAGGGCGUGUAGGCGGGAGCGCAAGUCAGAUGUGAAAACUCAGGGCUCAACCCUGAGCCUGCAUUUGAAACUGUGUUUCUUGAGUGCUGGGGAGGCAAUCGGAAUUCCGUGUGUAGCGGUGAAAUGCGUAGAUAGACGGAGGAACACCAGUGGCGAAGGCGGAUUGCUGGACAGUAACUGACGCUGAGGCGCGAAAGCGUGGGGAGCAAACAGGAUUAGAUACCCCUGUAGUC